rnacentral:rRNA from 1 species
GAUGAACGCUAGCGGCAGGCUUAAUACAUGCAAGUCGAGGGGCAGCAUGAUUGUAGCAAUACAAUUGAUGGCGACCGGCAAACGGGUGCGGAACACGUACACAACCUUCCAAUAAGUGGGGAAUAGCCCAGAGAAAUUUGGAUUAAUACCCCGUAACAUAACGAUGUGGCAUCACAUUGUUAUUAUAGAUUUUUCGCUUAUUGAUGGGUGUGCGGCUGAUUAGGUAGUUGGCGGGGUAACGGCCCACCAAGUCUACGAUCAGUAGCUGAUGUGGGAGCAUGAUCAGCCACACGGGCACUGAGACACGGGCCCGACUCCUACGGGAGGCAGCAGUAAGGAAUAUUGGACAAUGGACGCAAGUCUGAUCCAGCCAUGCCGCGUGAAGGAUUAAGGUCCUCUGGAUUGUAAACUUCUUUUAUAAGGGACGAAAAAAGGCUUUUCUAAGUCGUCUGACGGUACCUUAUGAAUAAGCACCGGCUAACUCCGUGCCAGCCGCCGCAGUAAGAC